rnacentral:rRNA from 1 species
UGGGGGAAUUUUGGACAAUGGGCGAAAAGCCCUGAUCCAGCAAUGCCGCGUGUGUGAAGAAGGCCUUCGGGUUGUAAAGCACUUUUGUCCGGAAAGAAAUCCUUGGCUCUAAUACAGUCGGGGGAUGACGGUACCGGAAGAAUAAGCACCGGCUAACUACGUGCCAGCAGCCGCGGUAAUACGUAGGGUGCAAGCGUUAAUCGGAAUUACUGGGCGUAAAGCGUGCGCAGGCGGUUUGCUAAGACCGAUGUGAAAUCCCCGGGCUCAACCUGGGAACUGCAUUGGUGACUGGCAGGCUAGAGUAUGGCAGAGGGGGGUAGAAUUCCACGUGUAGCAGUGAAAUGCGUAGAGAUGUGGAGGAAUACCGAUGGCGAAGGCAGCCCCCCUGGGCCAAAUACUGACGCUCAUGCACGAAAGCGUGGGGAGCAAACAGGAUUAGAUACCCUGGUAGUCCACGCCCUAAACGAUGUCAACUAGUUGUUGGGGAUUCAUUUCCUUAGUAACGUAGCUAACGCGUGAAGUUGACCGCCUGGGGAGUAC